CCGCCCCUUCAGGCCCAACUCCUUUCUUAGCGCCACUGCAAAGUACUCCAAUUGUCCACCGGAGCAACGAUACCGUUAUUCAAUGGCUCUCACCCUCCCUCGAAAAUGGAAAUGGAGGCCAUUCUUGGUCUCCUCCAUAGCUUCAAUUAUUGGACCUGAAACUAGAGCUCAUGGGUUUCGAUCAGAUGCUGUUUUAGAAGCAUUAAGGAAGGCAAGAGAAGAGAAGAUCCCAAAUGUGGUGCUAUACAAGUACCCUUCUUUCUCCGGAUCAUUCUCUGCUCUGUUUGCUACCCUCUUCCACUCUCGCCUCAAUCUAUCUUGCCUUGUUUUGCCUUUCUCUUUGGUUCAGCCUCUCAGGGUUGAAGAUUUGGCAUUUGAAGGACUUGAGAGAUGUUAUCUUCUUGAUUUUCUUGGUCCUCCAGGAUUUGCCGCUGUGCUUUCACUGCAAUCAAUGUGCGAGGUAAUAGGCUUUGAUCACCGAAAAUCAGCACUUUCAAGAAUUCCCUCUGCUGAAGAGUGUGCAGAGAAAGUCACAUUUCAUGUUGAUCUUGAAAAGAGUAGCUCUACUGUUGUAUAUAACUAUUUCUCUAACAAGCUUCUAGCUAUAACAUCUCAUAAUAAUAAGGGAGGAGUUAACAGAUUGUUGAACCCAGAAGACCAAGAACGUGUUGAAAUGGUUCUUAAGUACAUUGAAGAUGCAGAUCUUCGACGAUGGAGCCUACCAUAUAUUAGGGCUUUUAAUAUUGGACUAAAUGAAUGGCGCUCGAAGUUAAAUUGCAUUACAAACCCAUUUAUGUUUGAAGAGUUGUUGGAGAUGAGUUCUACCUCUUUAAUUGCCAAUGGAAAUUCAUAUAUUUCCUCUCGUCAGAGUGCUGCAAGCAAGUUACUAGAUAAGGUUUUUAAAGUUCGAUUGGGUAGAGGAUUUUAUGGGGAGUGCCUGGGAGUUAGAGCUGAUGGCAAUUCCAACUUAAGUGAUGAAAUUGGCAGGCAACUUAGUGUAAAAAGUGCUGCAGCUGGUCUUAGGCCCAUAGGAGCUGUUGUCUACAUGCAACGGAAUAAUCUAAAGAUGUGCUUAAGGAGUACAGAUAGAGAUACUGAUACAUUGGAAGUUGCAAAGGCAUAUGGUGGAGGUGGCUCGCCAAGUUCUAGUUCCUUUAUUAUACGGAUGGAUGAGUAUAAUCAGUGGCUUUCAGACAAUGCAUCAUGAUUGCAUCAAGAAAAGUACAAUAGCAAUGCCAUGAGAGCCACCUCUGCAUCCACUGCUGCUGAAAGAAUGUAAUUGUACCUUUGCCACCACUGCUUCCAGUCGGGGAAGAUGAAGAAAUUAAAAAUUGUUCCAACUAUGAUCCAGGAAUUGUAGUUUACUGCUGUUGCUGGAGGCAUCAUUCCAGUUGAUCCUAGAAGAACUGGAAGGUUGAUUAGGGGAAUCCAAGAUUGCUUUGGGAAUGUCUUGUGUAAUAGCCAAACUAUAACUGGUCCUACUGCACCUCCAAGGAAGAACCAAUUCAUGGCUUGAUAAUUUCCAAGACUUCCAAAUAUCCGUUUAGGUCCUACGAGACCCCAUAUGAUAGAUGCAUCAAAGAAUACUGUGUCACCUGGGCAUCUCCAAGGACUGUCAGGGGGAAGCAGAUCGUCCUGGCAUAUGUUAUUAAUGGAAUUUAGCUGCCACCAUGCCACUGCAAGGUUGAUGGUUCCAGCAAGCAUUGUUCCAAUGAACUGAACCAAGAACAUUGAUCUUGGAGGGAUCUUCAUGUAGUGUCCAAGCUUGAAAUCAUUGAGGAAAGAGACAGCCUGCGCCAUGCUCAUAUAACCAUAGGUUUUGAAGCAGACAUUGGCUAUUGGUCUUCCUGGAUAUAUGAUACCCAUAACAUACUCUGUGAUUAUGUUCAGCCCUGGUGUCUAUGCAUGAAGUACAAGGUCAUUAGUGAAGAAUAACAGUUUGCAUAGAACUUGAAACCAAAGUUUUCAACAUGAUGUUCCUUACUGCCAGAACAAAAUUUUAUACCAUUUGACCUAAGAUAUGGAACCUUAGACUUCGGUAGAAUAUGUGAGAAUUGUUCUGGGAAACCAUAACUUGCAUGACUGUGGCCAAACAGUUAAAAAUUUUAUCUUUUUAUCAGAUUUAGAUAUGAAAUAUUGUGGUCAAAAGUUCAUUGAGCUUACCUGGUUGGUUGUAGCAGUUAUGAUGCUAAUUGGAAGGGUGAAGAAGAAAGCUAUAGCACUGGCGAAGAGGAGUCCCCACCAUGGCAUCUGAACCUGAUCAUUCAAGACUAUGCAGAGAACAAGCGAAACUGCAAGCGUGACAGCCAGCAGCAAGUGAAACCACCAAGAAGGUAUGUCCUUGUAUCUUCUCAUCAAUCUGGUAUGGAUAUCCUCCUUGCCGUUACAAGAAUAAUGGUAUCGCUCAUAAAUCUCCCUGUGAAUUAUAAGUCUUACACAAUAAUGUGAUCAUGUGUAAAUACAAAUACACGUUUCCGAUUGAAAUAGCUGUAAUGAGAAUUAAGGUGCUUCCAAUUGAUGAUUCAGUUUGAAAAGGGUUAAACUACUGUGGAUUGUAUUUGUUUUUGCUUUGAGCAUUUCAGAAUAACAGAGGACACUGUAAAAACUCGUGGUUGACAAAAUAUAUUGAAUUGAAAAAAGCAUUAACUAGU
rnacentral:misc_RNA from 1 species